CUGUUUCUCAUCGUUUUUGGGUAUGCGAUUAAUUCAGAUAGUUUUUGAGCUUUUUAAUUGAUUUUGUUUUAGCUUUUUAAUUGAUGUUCUUGGUUUAUCUGGCUAUAUUAAUUUUUAGCUUGCAUUUCUGUAGUUUAUUGUUUACAUAGUGCUUUGUUUGGACAGUGGAAUGGCAUUCAAUUGAACGGUCAUGUAUAGCUGUUCUUAAUUUUAGUUCAAAAUUUAAAUGUUAGAAUGGUUGAUAUUAUUUCGUGGAAUAGCUAUUCCAUAAUAUCAAAUGUAAUUUUAAUCAUCUAACAGAGCUGAAUGGCUAAAUAGUAUCAUAUGGCUGACCUAACUAG
rnacentral:misc_RNA from 1 species